rnacentral:tRNA from 1 species
GCAUCGUUGGUGUUAGUGGUAGCACAGUUGGUUGCCAUCCAGCAGGCACGAGUUCAAAUCUCGUACGAUGCUCCA